UCCGGCUUCUCGCCGGCAGUCCCCUUAGAGUCCCCGGCAUUACCCGCUGGCAACUAAGGGCAGGGGUUGCGCUCGUUGCGGCACUUAAGCCAACACCUCACGGCACGAGCUGACGACAGCCAUGCACCACCUGUACACCUGCCCCGAAGGGCUGCCGUAUUUCUACGGCAUUCAGGUGCAUGUCAAGCCCUGGUAAGGUUCUUCGCGUUGCGUCGAAUUAAACCACAUGCUCCGCUGCUUGUGCGGGCCCCCGCCAAUUCCUUUGAGUUUUAACCUUGCGGUCGUAAUCCCCAGGCGGGGUGCUUAAUGCGUUAGCUACGGCACGGAGGGAGUGGAUAACCCCCCACACCUAGCACCCAUCGUUUACGGCGUGGACUAC
rnacentral:misc_RNA from 1 species